rnacentral:rRNA from 1 species
UGGGGAAUUUUGGACAAUGGGCGAAAGCCUGAUCCAGCAAUGCCGCGUGCAGGAUGAAGGCCCUCGGGUUGUAAACUGCUUUUGUACGGAACGAAAAGCCUGGGGAUAAUAUCCCCGGGUCAUGACGGUACCGUAAGAAUAAGCACCGGCUAACUACGUGCCAGCAGCCGCGGUAAUACGUAGGGUGCAAGCGUUAAUCGGAAUUACUGGGCGUAAAGCGUGCGCAGGCGGUUUUGUAAGACAGUGGUGAAAUCCCCGGGCUCAACCUGGGAACUGCCAUUGUGACUGCAAGGCUAGAGUGCGGCAGAGGGGGAUGGAAUUCCGCGUGUAGCAGUGAAAUGCGUAGAUAUGCGGAGGAACACCGAUGGCGAAGGCAAUCCCCUGGGCCUGCACUGACGCUCAUGCACGAAAGCGUGGGGAGCAAACAGGAUUAGAUACCCUGGUAGUCCACGCCCUAAACGAUGUCAACUGGUUGUUGGGUCUUAACUGACUCAGUAACGAAGCUAACGCGUGAAGUGACCG